rfam:Desulfosporosinus sp. BRH_c37 BRHa_1000439, whole genome shotgun sequence.
UUAUUCCUCUGGGGUUGGGUGAAAUUCCCUACCGGCGGUAAAGCCCGCGAGCCUUUUGGCAGACCCGGUGACAUUCCGGGGCCGACAGUAAAGUCUGGAUGAGAAGAGGAACAG